rnacentral:rRNA from 1 species
AGGACGAACGCUGGCGGCGUGCUUAACACAUGCAAGUCGAACGGUAAGGCCCUUUCGGGGGUACACGAGUGGCGAACGGGUGAGUAACACGUGGGUGAUCUGCCCUGCACUUUGGGAUAAGCCUGGGAAACUGGGUCUAAUACCGAAUACACCUUUCUGGUCGCAUGGCCUGGUGAGGGAAAGCUUUUGCGGUGUGGGAUGGGCCCGCGGCCUAUCAGCUUGUUGGUGGGGUGAUGGCCUACCGAAGGCGACGACGGGUA